GUGGUCACUCCUGCUGGAUGCCAAGAAGGUGAAGGCCAAGAAUCCAGCAAUACACCAGGUCAGGCCCUUCCACACCCAGCCAGCGCACAGACAUGUCACACCAUGUCAGGAGCCCAGUUAACCAGCUGGAGGGAACAUCGAGCCUGGCAGUUAGGGGGUCAGUAGCACAUCCUGGGCACAGACAGUGACAUGGACACCACAAGUGAGCUGGGCUCUGGUGACAUUCUGUGACUUAAGAAACAAGCAAGAGAAGCAACUAUCUGCAGAGAAAAACCCUCCUUUCCUACAAAGGCACUGACUUUGUCAUGGUGCUGUGUGCAGCAGUGAGUCUCCU
rnacentral:lncRNA from 1 species